GUUUUAAUAGUUUAAAUAAAACACUGGUCUUGUAAAUCAGAACUGAGAAUUUAAUUUCUCUUAAAGCA
rnacentral:tRNA from 1 species